CCUACGGGAGGCAGCAGUGGGGGAUAUUGCACAAUGGGGGGAACCCUGAUGCAGCGACGCCGCGUGGGUGAAGGAGUGCUUCGGCAUGUAAAGCCCUAUCGGCAGGGAAGAAGCAAGACGGUACCUGACUAAGAAGCCCCGGCUAACUACGUGCCAGCAGCCGCGGUAAUACGUAGGGGGCGAGCGUUAUCCGGAUUCACUGGGUGUAACGGGGGCGUGGAGGGCCAAGAAAGCCAGGGGUGAAAGCCCGGGGCCCAACCCCGGGACUGCCCUUGGAACUGCAUGGCUGGAGUGCGGGAGGGGCAGGCGGAAUUCCUGGUGUAGCGGUGAAAUGCGUAGAUAUCAGGAGGAACACCAGUGGCGAAGGCGGCCGCCUGGCCUGUUGCUGACGCUGAGGCACGAAAGCGUGGGGAGCAAAUAGGAUUAGAUACUCGGGUAGUC
rnacentral:rRNA from 1 species